CUGUUUUCCCACUCUUCUCGACCCCAGAUGGCUGGUGAGUCUUACUUUGUCUCCAGUGCCUGCCUUCUCUGCAGUAGCAAGUACUGAAACUCGCAGAGAAAACGACAAUGGUGAUAAGAAACACAAACGCGAGCUUCUUUUGGUGGUUAAAGAGGAUUUCAUUCGGGUCCUAUAUAUAAGGGGAGCAGAGAGGGAAGAGAAGCUGUCAGCUGAACUGAAGUGGGCUACUGUGCAACCAUGUGAGGAACAGUGUUCAUCAGCUAAAAGAGGUACCGUGAACUUACAUUUCAUUUUCAGUUACUUUCUUGGUGACAUUUGGUUAACUUAAUUUUCCGGCCUGGUCCUAUUCCAAGUUUUUGGCAUUGCUCAUUGUGAGUACACUGACAUGGACCGUUAUAUCGGACAAAGAGGGCAAUCUUCUUGACGAAUUCCCUCCGUUCAACAUUGGAUUUGCUUCCUUCUGUUUGUACUGUUGCUCUCGUUCCUAUUCUAUUCUGCUUAUAGUUAAAGCCCCCUUCAUGUUGUGUCUGCUUCGUCUAUAUGUUGGACGUUGAGUACUGACAAAGGCAUAAGGUUUGUAUGGCUAGGUCGAGUUUUGCCGCAUUUUGGAUGCUGCAGGCGAUGGGAAGUUAGGGAAGGUUUUGAAAUACUCAAUGAACUGCAAUUGUUUGGUUUGCCCUGGUAUCCAAAUCCGGGUUCCAUCCUUGAAUACAACGACUUAAGUUAUUGACCUC